rnacentral:rRNA from 1 species
CCUACGGGAGGCAGCAGUGGGGAAUAUUGCACAAUGGGGGAAAGCCUGAUGGAGCAACGCCGCGUGCAGGAUGAAGGCCUUCGGGUUGUAAACUGCUUUUAUAAGCGAGAAAUAUGAUGGUAACUUAUGAAUAAGGAUCGGCUAACUACGUGCCAGCAGCCGCGGUCAUACGUAGGAUCCGAGCAUUAUCCGGAGUGACUGGGUGUAAAGAGUUGCGUAGGUGGCAUAAUAAGUAGCUAGUGAAAUCUGGUGGCUCAACCAUUCAGACUAUUAGCUAAACUGUUAAGCUCGAGACCGUUAGGGGUAACUGGAAUGUUUAGUGUAGGAGUGAAAUCCGUAGAUAUUAGAAGGAACACCAAUAGCGUAGGCAGGUUGCUGGGACGGGUCUGACACUAAGGCACGAAAGCGUAGGGAGCAAACGGGAUUAGAUACCCCUGUAGUC